GUCUUCCUUCUGCAGCACAUAAAGUAGAACUGAAAUAAUAACAAAGAAGACUGGCAUAGACCCUACGCAAGGAUGGCAUCCAAAUUCAUGCAGCAUAUCUUAUUUUU
rnacentral:snRNA from 1 species